rnacentral:rRNA from 1 species
UGAGGAAUAUUGCGCAAUGGAGGAAACUCUGACGCAGUGACGCCGCGUGCAGGAAGAAGGUUUUCGGAUUGUAAACUGCUUUAGACAGGGAAGAAACAAGACAGUACCUGUAGAAUAAGCUCCGGCUAACUACGUGCCAGCAGCCGCGGUAAUACGUAGGGAGCAAGCGUUAUCCGGAUUUAUUGGGUGUAAAGGGUGCGUAGACGGGAAGUCAAGUUAGUUGUGAAAUCCCUCGGCUCAACUGAGGAACUGCAACUAAAACUAACUUUCUUGAGUGCUGGAGAGGAAAGUGGAAUUCCUAGUGUAGCGGUGAAAUGCGUAGAUAUUAGGAGGAACACCAGUGGCGAAGGCGACUUUCUGGACAGUAACUGACGUUGAGGCACGAAAGUGUGGGGAGCAAACAGGAUUAGAUACCC